rnacentral:rRNA from 1 species
GACGAACGCUGGCGGCGUGCUUAACACAUGCAAGUCGAACGGAAAGGCCCUGCUUUUGUGGGGUGCUCGAGUGGCGAACGGGUGAGUAACACGUGAGUAACCUGCCCUUGACUUUGGGAUAACUUCAGGAAACUGGGGCUAAUAUCGGAUAGGAGCUCCUGCUGCAUGUUGGGGGUUGGAAAGUUUCGGCGGUUGGGGAUUGGCUCGCGGCUUAUCGGCUUAUUAGUGGGGUAGUGGCUUACCCAGGCUUGGACGGGUAGCCCGCCUGAGAGGGUGACCGGCGACAUAGGGACUGAGGGGAGGCACAGGCUGCUACGGGAGGGAGCAGGGGGGAAGAUUGCAGGAGGGGCGGAGGGCGGAUGAAGAAACGCCGCGUGCGGGAUGACGGCCUUAUGGGGGAAAACCGAUUGCGCCUGUGACGAAGCGUGAGUGACGGUAAUGGGUAAAGAAGCACCGGCUAACUACGUG